UAUUACUCACAACAGCUAAAGCAGGAAGACAGCCCCCACGUGCUUCUCGGCGGGGGCAUGGAUAAGCGGAAUAUGGCAUCCGCCUGCAGUGGAAUGCUGUUCCGAUGUGAGAAGGAAGGCAGUGCUGAGAUGGGCUACAACACGGAUGACCCUUGAGGACACGACGCUGGGUGACCUAAGGCUGUCACAAAAACACAGGAUUGUAUUUUGAAGUCGUCUCUAUAUCCAGCAUGGGCCUCACACCUCCAGCCCCAAGAUGAAGAGUCUCCUGACGGAGCCAGCUAGGCACCCCCAUUUUUACCUUAUUAAUGUGGCUAUUACAAAAUAUAAAAUUGCCUAUGGGGUUGUC